rnacentral:rRNA from 1 species
UACGAAGGGUGCAAGCGUUACUCGGAAUUACUGGGCGUAAAGCGUGCGUAGGUGGUUUGUUAAGUCUGUUGUGAAAGCCCCGGGCUCAACCUGGGAAUGGCAAUGGAUACUGGCAAGCUAGAGUGCGGUAGAGGGUAGUGGAAUUCCCGGUGUAGCGGUGAAAUGCGUAGAGAUCGGGAGGAACACCAGUGGCGAAGGCGGCUCGCUGGGACGGUACUGACGCUAAGGCGCGAAAGCGUGGGGAGCGAACAGG